AAUUAUUAUUUAUUAGUUGUUUUAUAUAUUUAAAGUAUUAUUUUUUAUUUUUUUUUUAUUUUUAUUAUUAUUUAUUAAUUUAUAGAUUAUUAUUAAAGUGAUUGAAAUUUAUUUUUAUUUUAUAAAGAAGAUUUAAUUUUUUGUACCUUUUGUAUCAGGGUUGAUUAAUUAAUGUUUUUGUAUUAAAUUUUUCUCGAAUUAGUAAGAGCUAAAAUAUUAUUUAUUUAACUGUCGAAUAAAUUUUUAUAAUAAUAUUUUUGUAAUGAAACGUUAUUCGUUUAUUAAUAUAUCUAGUUUUUUAAGAAAAAAGUUUAAUUUUAUAGACUUGAAAAGAUUCUUUUUUGAUUAAGGUUUAUUUUAUAGUUUAUUAGGUAUUUAGGGUUAAGCUUGGGUAUUGAUUUGUUAAAAUUGUUUAGGUUGUAAUAUCUUCUGUUUGAUUAGAAUUUUCAUUCUUUUUUAUAAAUUAAUAUUUAUUGAUAUUUGUUUAUUAUUUUUUAUUUGUUUAACUGUUUUAUUAGAAUGUAAUUAAAAAUUUUUUUUUUUAGUAAUAAUGAUUAAAUAAGUAAAUUUUUUCUUUUAAUUUAUUUUUAUAUGGUUUAGAUAAUUUAAAGUAACUAGGCAAAAAAAUAAUUUUCGCUUGUUUAUUAAAAACAUCUCUUUUUGUUAUAUUGAUUUAAGGUCUAAUCUGCUCAAUGAAAUAUUUUAAAUUGCUGCGGUAAUUUAACUGUACGAAGGUAGCAUAAUAAUUUGUUUUUUUAUUGAAAACUUGCAUGAAUGAUUGGACGAGAAAUUAACUGUCUCUAUUUUAAUUUUUGAAUUUAACUUUAAAGUUAAAAGGCUUUAAUGUUUAUAAGGGACAAGAAGACCCUAUAGAGUUUUAUUAAUUAUUGUUGAGGAGGGUUUAUAUUAUUUAAUUUUUUUCUUUAAUAAUUGAUUUUGUUGGGGUUGCUAGAAGAUUUAAAAAAUUCUUUUUUUUUAAUCAUUGAUUUAUGAUUUUAUUAUAUUUGUUAUUAAAUAUAAAUUAAAUUACCUUAGGGAUAACAGCGUUAUCUUUUUUAGGAGUUCUUAUUUUAAAAAAGGUUUGCGACCUCGAUGUUGGAUUAAAGUUUAAUUUUGAUGUAGGUGUCAAAAGUUUAAGUCUGUUCGACUUUUAAAAUUUUACAUGAUCUGAGUUUAAACCGGUGUAAGCCAGGUUGGUUUUUAUCUUUAUAAAAUUUAAAUUUCUUAGUACGAAAGGACUUGAUUUUUAAUAAAUUAUUUCUUGUAUUGAAUAUUAUU
rnacentral:rRNA from 1 species